rnacentral:rRNA from 1 species
GAUGAACGCUGGCGGCGCGCCUAAUACAUGCAAGUCGAGCGAACGGACGAGAAGCUUGCUUCUCUGAUGUUAGCGGCGGACGGGUGAGUAACACGUGGAUAACCUACCUAUAAGACUGGGACAACUUCGGGAAACCGGAGCUAAUACCGGAUAAUAUUUUGAACCGCAUGGUUCAAAAGUGAAAGACGGUCUUGCUGUCACUUAUAGAUGGAUCCGCGCUGCAUUAGCUAGUUGGUAAGGUAACGGCUUACCAAGGCAACGAUGCAUAGCCGACCUGAGAGGGUGAUCGGCCACACUGGAACUGAGACACGGUCCAGACUCCUACGGGAGGCAGCAGUAGGGAAUCUUCCGCAAUGGGCGAAAGCCUGACGGAGCAACGCCGCGUGAGUGAUGAAGGUCUUCGGAUCGUAAAACUCUGUUAUUAGGGAAGAACAUAUGUGUAAGUAACUGUGCACAUCUUGACGGUACCUAAUCAGAAAGCCACGGCUAACUACGUGCCAGCAGCCGCGGUAAUACGUAGGUGGCAAGCGUUAUCCGGAAUUAUUGGGCGUAAAGCGCGCGUAGGCGGUUUUUUAAGUCUGAUGUGAAAGCCCACGGCUCAACCGUGGAGGGUCAUUGGAAACUGGAAAACUUGAGUGCAGAAGAGGAAAGUGGAAUUCCAUGUGUAGCGGUGAAAUGCGCAGAGAUAUGGAGGAACACCAGUGGCGAAGGCGACUUUCUGGUCUGUAACUGACGCUGAUGUGCGAAAGCGUGGGGAUCAAACAGG